GUGGCUCAUUAAGUCACAUGUGAAAUCCCCGGGCUUAACCUGGGAACUGCAUGUGAUACUGGUGGUGCUAGAAUAUGUGAGAGGGAAGUAGAAUUCCAGGUGUAGCGGUGAAAUGCGUAGAGAUCUGGAGGAAUACCGAUGGCGAAGGCAGCUUCCUGGCAUAAUAUUGACACUGAGAUUCGAAAGCGUGGGUAGCAAACAGGAUUAGAUACCCUGGUAGUCCACGCCGUAAACGAUGUCUACUAGCCGUUGGGGUCCUUGAGACUUUAGUGGCGCAGUUAACGCGAUAAGUAGACCGCCUGGGGAGUACGGCCGCAAGGUUAAAACUCAAAUGAAUUGACGGGGGCCCGCACAAGCGGUGGAGCAUGUGGUUUAAUUCGAUGCAACGCGAAGAACCUUACCUGGUCUUGACAUAGUGAGAAUCUUUCAGAGAUGAGAGAGUGCCUUCGGGAAUUCACAUACAGGUGCUGCAUGGCUGUCGUCAGCUCGUGUCGUGAGAUGUUGGGUUAAGUCCCGCAACGAGCGCAACCCUUUUCCUUAUUUGCCAGCGGGUUAAGCCGGGAACUUUAAGGAUACUGCCAGUGACAAACUGGAGGAAGGCGGGGACGACGUCAAGUCAUCAUGGCCCUUACGACCAGGGCUACACACGUGCUACAAUGGUAGGUACAGAGGGUUGCUACACAGCGAUGUGAUGCUAAUCUCAAAAAGCCUAUCGUAGUCCGGAUUGGAGUCUGCAACUCGACUCCAUGAAGUCGGA
rnacentral:rRNA from 1 species